rnacentral:sRNA from 1 species
GUUUACCAAAAGCGUUUUCUACACAUGAGACUUUGUGCAGGCUGCAGAGAUGCCUCCCUGUGGAAUCUGGGUCUCCGGGCUUGAGCAUAGGCUUAGUGUGUACAUGGCAGGUAGUGGACAUUGACAUUUGGUCUCUGCUUUUGGGGAUGAUGUCCUAUUCUGCUCCCCAUCCUGUCACUCUCCAGCCCUGACCAUUGUGGUCACUGAGUGGAGAACCAAGUUUCGUCGUGCUAUGAACACACAGGAGAACGCUACCCGGGCACGAGCAGUGGACUCUCUGCUAAACUUCGAGACGGUGAAGUAUUACAACGCCGAGAGUUAUGAAGUGGAACGCUAUCGAGAGGCCAUCAUCAAAUAUCAGGGUUUGGAGUGGAAGUCGAGCGCUUCACUGGUUUUACUAAAUCAGACCCAGAACCUGGUGAUUGGGCUCGGGCUCCUCGCCGGCUCCCUGCUUUGCGCAUACUUUGUCAGUGAGCAGAAGCUACAGGUUGGGGACUAUGUGCUCUUUGGCACCUACAUUAUCCAGCUGUACAUGCCCCUCAAUUGGUUUGG